rnacentral:misc_RNA from 1 species
UCUCCCCUUUUAGGAGCAGUCUCGUUAGACAAAGUAACUAACGACGAGGGUUGCGCUCGUUGCGGGACUUAACCCAACACCUCACGGCACGAGCUGACAACAGCCAUGCAACAUCUGUGCAACUGUCCCGAAGGAAGACCCGCUUUCACGGGCUGUCAGAAGCAUGUCAAGUCCAGGUAAGGUUCUUCGCUUAUCAUCGAAUUAAACCACACGCUCCGCUGCUUGUGCGGGGACCCGUCAAUUCCUUUGAGUUUUAGCCUUGCGGCCGUACUCCCCAGGCGGGGUACUUAUCGCGUUAGCUUCGGCACGGGAGGGGUCGAUACCCCCCAUACCUAGUACCCAUCGUUUAGGGCGUGGACUAC